rnacentral:rRNA from 1 species
AACGAACGCUGGCGGCAGGCUUAACACAUGCAAGUCGAACGGAUGUAGCAAUACAUCAGUGGCAGACGGGUGAGGAACACGUGGGAAUAUUCCUUUCAGUUCGGAAUAACGUUGGGAAACUAACGCUAAUACCGGAUACGUCCUUCGGGAGAAAGAUUUAUCGCUGAAAGAUUAGCCCGCGUCUGAUUAGCUAGUUGGUGAGGUAAUGGCUCACCAAGGCGACGAUCAGUAGCUGGUCUGAGAGGAUGAUCAGCCACAUUGGGACUGAGACACGGCCCAGACCCCUACGGGAGGCAGCAGUAGGGAAUUUUCCACAAUGGGCGAAAGCCUGAUGGAGCAACGCCGCGUGCAGGAUGAAGGCCUUCGGGUUGUAAACUGCUUUUAUCUGUGAAGAUUAUGACGGUAGCAGAUGAAUAAGGAUCGGCUAACUCCGUGCCAGCCGCCGCGGUAA